AGUGAGAUAACUGGAUCAAAUGGUGGUUCCAUUCCAAAUUUUCUGAGGAAUCUCCAUAUUGCUUUCAAUAGUGGUUGCACCAAUUUGCAGUUCCACCAGCAAU
rnacentral:pre_miRNA from 1 species